CCUGUAGCAAUACAGGAGUGGCGCACGGGUGAGUAACGCGUGGGAACCUGCCCUGGAGUGGGGGAUAACCGAGAGAAAUUUCGGCUAAUACCGCAUACGACCUGAGGGUGAAAGAUUUAUCGCUCUAGGAGGGGCCCGCGUCGGAUUAGCUAGUUGGUGGGGUAAUGGCCUACCAAGGCUACGAUCCGUAGCUGGUCUGAGAGGAUGAUCAGCCACACUGGGACUGAGACACGGCCCAGACUCCUACGGGAGGCAGCAGUGGGGAAUAUUGGACAAUGGGGGCAACCCUGAUCCAGCAAUGCCGCGUGAGUGAUGAAGGCCUUAGGGUUGUAAAGCUCUUUCGGCGGGGACGAUGAUGACGGUACCCGCAGAAGAAGCCCCGGCUAACUUCGUGCCA
rnacentral:rRNA from 1 species